rnacentral:rRNA from 1 species
UACAGGGGGUGCAAACGUUGCUCGGAAUUAUUGGGCGUAAAGCGCGCGCAGGUGGUUUCUUAAGUCUGAUGUGAAAGCCCACGGCUCAACCGUGGAGGGUCAUUGGAAACUGGGGAACUUGAGUGCAGGAGAGAAGAGUGGAAUUCCACGUGUAGCGGUGAAAUGCGUAGAGAUGUGGAGGAACACCAGUGGCGAAGGCGACUCUUUGGCCUGUAACUGACACUGAGGCGCGAAAGCGUGGGGAGCAAACAGG